rnacentral:rRNA from 1 species
AAUCAACGCUGGCGGCGUGCCUAACACAUGCAAGUCGCACGAGAAAGGGGAGCAAUCCCUGAGUAAAGUGGCGCACGGGUGAGUAACACGUGAAUCAUCUACCUCCGAGUGGGGAAUAACUGAGAGAAAUCUUAGCUAAUACCGCACAACACUUACGAGUCAAAGCAGCAAUGCGCUUGGAGAGGAGUUCGCGGCCGAUUAGUUAGUUGGCGGGGUAAGUGGCCCACCAAGACGAUGAUCGGUAUCCGGCCUGAGAGGGC